GUGCAGUUCUCGGGAGCCCGCUGGUGGCCGGCGCAUGCGCGGUGCGCACGAGCAGCAUGGCGGCGCGCAGGGAUGCUGUUUCCUCUCGGCGGCCGUGGCUGCUGGGGGCACCGGUGAGGCAAGCGCGGCCCUUCGGGUGGCCGCGGGUGGUGGGCUGUCUCCUGCUGGCUGGGGCCGUCGCUGCCUGAAGGCGCAGGUGCGGGCCGAGAGCGUGGGGGCGUUAAGAUACAACACUUAGAUAAGUUGUCACGGCUGAAAUGGAAGAGGCGAGAAAGAUGUGAACAAGCUGAAGCAAUAACAUCAAAUGGAUCCAAUCAAAAGCGGUCUCCAUCCUCCAAACAAGAGAAACUCUGUUCCUCCUGGUGAGGAAGGGACACUACUAAUAGUGAUCAGGAUUAUAGAGCACCAACACAUAAUGCAAGGGCAGCGGAUUUUACCAUGCCUCCAUCAACAAGUGCUGGCUGAGAAGAUCAUAAUGUGAACACAGAUUCCUGAGGCAAGGCCAAGGAGCUGAGAUUCGCAGCUGGCCAGAAGAAAAUUGCUUGGGAGCUGUUGCUAGCCUUGAGCUAUAGGUGCUAGUGCAUAUGGCUCACUUUUUCGGACUCAAAGGAGUUUUCUUCAGUUGUAGAAAUUUUAGCUUGGCUUUAUACCCUGUAGUAAUGGUAUUUUUGUGUUUAUAAAUUCUGCUAAUCCUAGGCAUUCAGAACAUCAGGGAAAGACUAUACACUGCCAUAAGAAAUAUAAGCUACCACCCUCAGGCCUUUGAAAGUUAUCACGUGUCAAGGGCAGCCAAGGGAACACGAAUGGCUCCAGAAAGGUUCUCUGUCUGGUCACAGUUAGGAGUCUUGAGCCAUAGGAAGGUCUUCAACAUCCUUACCAAACUUGUGAGUAAUAACCCAAUGGACCAGCAAAGGAGAGGGAGAACAGUGCCCAGUCAGUGUAGCGUUGCCAUUGCUAACAGAGCCACAAGGUCUGCAUGAAGCCUCGCCUACCUAUUUGGAGCUGUAUUUUGGUCUGUUUACCUGAAAUAACCAGUAAUGCCUACCGUAAGAAUUUUCAUGGCUGAUAGCUAACCUGUGGCCUAACGUGUGUUUGCCUUGCUUUGCUUAGUCUGAUUGCUCAAUGUGAUAACCCCAGAAUAAAAAUCAUUACAGUGCUUAAGGGAGCCCAAGGAUCUGUGUGCCAAGACUGGGGAACUGCAAUUAAAGCUUUGAAAAAAUGCUCUAAAAUGAGAAUCAUCCAAUGAUCUUGGUAGUUUGAUUCAUUUGCAGGAUAAUCCUCCAAGGGCAGCAACCUGAAGAGAAGCAGCUCGACCUGUUUUGUUGAUUUCAGUGAUGCUGUUUUAAGGAAGCAUGUGCCAGGAGAUGGUUCCCUCAGCAGAGAUGAUCAGCAGCAAGCAGAGGGUGCCAUCAGUUUGCCAGAUUCAGGUCAUGUCAGACACCUCUACAGUGACUGCACGCUGGCAUUGAGCCCAGUUUUCUGUUGGAUCUGUCUUCAUGUAAACUAGUAUCUUCCCUGCAUCAGUCUCACUCUGCUCAUCUUCCUUCUGUCUGCAGCAGCAGCCUGCACUCAACUUUGCAUUCUGACACACUGCUGUGUCACAGGGCUUUCAAGCAAGGUCUGUUUGACUUGGGCCACUUGUGUUUCCUCUUAGGCAGCCUCAGCAAAUGAAGCAAAACCAUCUUCCCAUCAUUGUCCAGGCCAGAGUCAUUAGCUCAGUCUCUUCAGAGUUUGGACUUUUUGAAGGCCGUAGUUUUAUCCUGUCUUGGCUGGAUUCUGCUUUCUGAGUGGUCUGGAGGUGACUGAAGACUUUGGAUGGCAUGAGUGUUUUGUGCCUGUGUUUUCUGUGGGAGAAAGGCUAUGCUGAGUGGAGAAGUGCAGAGGGGUGUGGGUGGAGGGCAGAAGAGGUGGCUUGGGUGGGCUGGCUUUCUCCACAGCUGGAGGCUCUGUGGAGAUCUACAGCCAGCCAUGGAGGACAAGCUCUGACUUGCAGCGUGGCCACAGCUGAGUUCUGGAACUCCAUCGUAUGUGAGCAGGGCUGGGAGGUGGAUAGUGAUUGUCCCCUAGGUGGUUAUAGGUGUCCCUGCCUGUGGAUGUUUGCCUAUGGAGCUGAGAGAAACAAAAAUACUAAUUGUGUGUAAUGCAGAUGAACUGGUGCUUGUGGUGUUUCAGGUAGGUUCAGUGCAGUUAAAUUGCAGCUUAAUGCAGUCCUGUGGAGUGAUUCUUGCAUAUGGUCAUGUUUGAGUGUUAGCUAAAUACAAGCUUAUAAACAGCAA